CAGCCGCCACGGUAAUACAGAGGUCUCAAGCGUUGUUCGGAUUCAUUGGGCGUAAAGGGUGCGUAGGUGGCGGUGUAAGUCUAACGUGAAAUCUCGGGGCUCAACCUCGAAAUUGCGUCGGAUACUGCAUUGCUAGAGGAUUGUAGAGGAGAGUGGAAUUCAUGGUGUAGCAGUGAAAUGCGUAGAUAUCAUGAGGAAGACCAGUUGCGAAGGCGACUCUCUGGGCAAUUCCUGACACUGAGGCACGAAGGCUAGGGGAGCAAACGGGAUUAGAUACCCCGGUAGUCCCUGUCUCUUAUAC
rnacentral:rRNA from 1 species